rnacentral:lncRNA from 1 species
UUGGGUGAUUUGGAUUUGUAUUGACUUUGAAAUAGCUUUGCAAAGUAGAGGUUUGUUUUGGAUGACUUGGGUUUUAUGAAAUAAAAUAGGGUUUAUGUUUUGAGUGAUUUUGAGAGUUUUGUUGCAGAUCUACGGGUGAAUUUUUUUUGUUUUAUGAUUAUAGUUUUUUGCAAUGCAUAUUGUGAAUUCGAGCUCAAUCUAACGGUUAAAGUGAGAGAUAUUGAGGUUUAAGCGGGUCAAGGUCUCAAAAAGUAGAAU